AACUAACGCUGGCGGCGUGCCUAACACAUGCAAGUCGUACGAGAAAGGGUCCUUCGGGGCCUGAGUAAAGUGGCGCACGGGUGAGUAACGCGUGGAUAGUCUGCCCUUCAGUUGGGAAUAACUCAUCGAAAGGUGGGCUAAUACCGAAUAAUGCUGUGAGACCUCGGUUGAUCAGCCAAAGAGAGCCUCUGCUUGCAAGCCCUCGCUGAAGGAUGAGUCCGGGUACCAUUAGCUAGUUGGUAGGGUAAUGGCCUACCAAGGCGACGAUGGUUAGCUGGUCUGAGAGGAUGAUCAGCCACACUGGAACUGAGACACGGUCCAGAAUCCUACGGGAGGCAGCAGUGAGGAAUCUUGCGCAAUGGGGGCAACCCUGACGCAGCAACGCCGCGUGAGUGGGGAAGGUCUUCGGAUCGUAAAGCUCUGUCGGAUGGAAAGAACCGCAUAGGGGUAAACAGCCCCUGUGUCUGACGGUACCAUCAAAGGAAGCACCGGCUAACUCCGUGCCAGCCGCCGCGGUAACAC
rnacentral:rRNA from 1 species